GUUGGCUGCAAGUCAGGGUGAAAUCCACUUAGGAAAAUGUUAACUGAUCAAGGUUUUAAUACAAAUGUAUGUGCCUCUACUGGAUAAAAGGUGUGUCAGAAGUUAUAAUGAAAGCUCAUUACUGGGCUGGAAGACCUGUGGAGCAGGUUUCACUCACCUGGUCAGCCCUAAAAUCUACUUGCUCUCAGGACUACGCCUGGAACACAGAAGCCCUCAACACAUAGUCACUGAGUGGAUGGAUGGCAGGAUCUUGGGGAUGAGCCCCCUGCAGAGUGGUCAGGAAGCAGUCAUCCAUUCAGAGUACCUUCCUGGGUCUCCAGAAGAAACAGAAGAUAGGUACAUCAUCCUCAACCACAGAAGCUAUUUGCUCUCAGGGAUGUUCUGUAGGAAAUGGGAGUGGAUUAGGAUAAAACACCAUCAAAGCAUAAAAGUUAUGUUUUCCAGCCCAAACUCUGCUCUUCUGGGAACUACAGUGAAAUAUUAUUUGAUGGGCGCUACCCAGGUGGCACUAGUGGUAAAGGACCUGCUUGCCAAUGCAGGAAGCAUAAGGGACAGGGGCUUGAUCCCUGGAUCAGGAAGAUCUCUAGGAGGAAGGCAUGGCAAUUCACUCUAGGAUUCUUGCCUGGAGAAUCCCAUGGACAGAGGAGCCUCAUGGGCUACCGUCCGUAGGGUCACAAAGAGUUGGACAUGACUAAACUGAUGUAACAUGCCUGCAUACAUGCACUAUUUGAUGAAGAUGGUGACUUUAAAAGGUGUAUCAUACGUUCCCCAUCCUGAACCUCCAAUGAAAAUAAAUAAAUUUAUAUUUAAAAUAAAGAAAUAAAUAAAAUGAAC
rnacentral:lncRNA from 1 species